GCCUGGGUGGCUCAGUCGGUUGAGCGUCCGACUUCGGCUCCGGUCACGAUCUCGCGGUCCGUGAGUUCGAGCCCCGCAUCGGGCU
rnacentral:tRNA from 1 species